AUGCAAGUCGAACGGCAGCACGGACUUCGGUCUGGUGGCGAGUGGCGAACGGGUGAGUAAUACAUCGGAACGUGUCCUGGAGUGGGGGAUAGCCCGGCGAAAGCCGGAUUAAUACCGCAUACGGUCUGAGGAGGAAAGGGGGGGAUCGAAAGACCUCUCGCUCAAGGGGCGGCCGAUGGCAGAUUAGCUAGUUGGUGGGGUAAAGGCCUACCAACGCGACGAUCUGUAGCUGGUCUGAGAGGACGACCAGCCACACUGGGACUGAGACACGGCCCAGACUCCUACGGGAGGCAGCAGUGGGGAAUCUUGGACAAUGGGCGCAAGCCUGAUCCAGCAAUGCCGCGUGUGUGAAGA
rnacentral:rRNA from 1 species